UACGUAGGGGGCGAGCGUUGUCCGGAGUUACUGGGCGUAAAGGGCACGCAGGCGGUGCGGCGCGUUUCGCGUGACAGCGGAGGGCUUAACUCUCCGAGGAUGCGAAAGACGGCGGCACUUGAGGGCCAGAGAGGGACACGGAAUUCCGGGUGGAGUGGUGAAAUGCGUAGAGAUCCGGAGGAACACCGAAAGCGAAGGCAGUCUCCUGGCAAGUUUCUGACGCUCAGGUGCGAAAGCUAGGGGAGCGAACAGG
rnacentral:rRNA from 1 species